CCCAAGUAAAAGUGUCAGCGCAUGUAUGCUUGUCCACACCGAACAUUUGAGCUCUGCGCAGGCUCCCUGUCCGCUGAGACAAUUUAGGUUGAAAGCCAUGUUCACAGCUCAAAAUCAGAGACUUCUCAAUGAGAAACCUCUAAAUGGUUGUUUUCCCUGGCACAGACUGAAGGUAUUUGCUGGGGGAAAAGGGGAGAGCUUGCAAAGGCUGCAGACAGCAGAUCUGCAGCUUUUGCAAACUGUUUUUAGAUAUAACCCAAAUAAAAACGUGCAGCAAAAAAUGCAUAUGUUUUCACUGAGGGAUAUCUACUAAAUAGCGAUUUUUAUUUAUGCAUGUAUUUAUUUUUCCUUUUGGCAAUGGAGUGUGC